GAAUAUUGGUCAAUGGACGAAAGUCUGAACCAGCCAUGCCGCGUGCAGGAUGACGGCCCUAUGGGUUGUAAACUGCUUUUCUACAGGAAUCAACCCCUUUACGUGUAAAGGGCUGAAGGUACUGUAGGAAUAAGGAUCGGCUAACUCCGUGCCCGCCGCCGCGGUAAUACGGAGGAUCCAAGCGUUAUCCGGAUUCAUUGGGUUUAAAGGGUCCGCAGGCGGGAUAUUAAGUCAGUGGUGAAAUCGUACGGCUUAACCGUGCAACUGCCAUUGAUACUGGUAUUCUUGAGUAUAGUUGAGGUGGGCGGAAUAUGUCAUGUAGCGGUGAAAUGCAUAGAUAUGACAUAGAACACCGAUUGCGAAGGCAGCUCACUAAACUAUUACUGACGCUCAGGGACGAAAGCGUGGGGAGCGAACAGG
rnacentral:rRNA from 1 species